rnacentral:tRNA from 1 species
AAAUAAGAAGCAAAAAUUGCAUUUAGUUUCGACCUAAAAAUUGGUUAAUUUAACCCUUAUUUA